AGAUCCUCCGCACCGUGUAUCCCUCUAGGACUCCGCACUGUGUAUUGAUGAAUGUCACUUUGUUAAGCCCUCAGCUGCCAUGGGGCGGGAUGGAGAGCCAGCUAGGAAAAUGCUGCUUCCUAGAGGUAACCCGGCAAUGUAACUAGGGCUCAAACGUUUGUGGACCCUAUCCAUCCUACUCCCACUGAUGUCAACUGGAGUUUCCCCCUUAUCUGUAAAGGUAGCUGGAUGAAGAUUUAGCGUGAACAAUGUGUUUGUAGCUGUACAAGACACAGAAGACAAAUUGGUCCCUGCCUUCAGAUGCUUAAGAUGUAGGGGGCCAAUCCUGCAUGGAAUUUAGACCACUCUUAUAUGUCUUUCUCCUGCAAAGGGCUCCACAGACCCUUCUGCUCCAACCAGGAAUGAGGAUCAGGUCAUAUAGAUGAUCAGCCCCUUUUGCAAGAUCAGGGCUAUAAUUUCUCCCACAGAGUCCCAUUGAUUUUAGGUAACAAUAGGUGCUGUUAUAGCUCUUUGCGGGAUCAGACCUUCUGUGAUGUUGUAACUUAAUAACUAUAAUAUAGCAUAUUACAUAACAUAUAUAACAUACAUGUAAUCAUAUAUCACUUAAUAUUUUAAUGGG